UACGUAGGGGGCAAGCGUUGUCCGGAUUUAUUGGGCGUAAAGAGCGUGUAGGCGGUUCGGUAGGUCCGUUGUGAAAACUCGAGCUCAACCUCGAGACGCCGAUGGAAACCCCCGAACUAGAGUCCGGAAGAGGAGAGUGGAAUUCCUGGUGUAGCGGUGAAAUGCGCAGAUAUCAGGAAGAACACCCGUGGCUAAGGCGGCUCUCUAGUACGGUACUGACGCUGAGACGCGAAAGCGUGGGGAGCGAACAG
rnacentral:rRNA from 1 species